UUUAAAUUUUUUACUAAAUUCAAAUUAUGAGAAAAUUGCAUUUCCCGAUCAAAGUUAAGAGCAUGCAUUUUUUCUUUCUUGAAGAACUUUUUACGUGCUCUGAUGGUUAACAUCCAAGAGUAGAAAAGCCAUGAAUUCAAGUCAUAUCCGAAAUUAGAGAUGUGAUGGGGCAAAGAUGAAGUCGAGAGCUCUGACAGUAUCAAAGCUCAACCCUCUAUUUUUAGAUUCUUUACACAUCAUGUAUAAAUUGUCAGAACUUAAUAAGUAAAAAAUUAGCAAAGCAACAGAGUUUCCAAGCAAUAGCAACUGAAAAAAGUGACACAUUUUUUGUCUGAAUUGUCAAAAUAAGUUGUUAAAAUCAGCGCAAUCUAUCAUUGAAUUUUA
rnacentral:lncRNA from 1 species